rnacentral:rRNA from 1 species
GGCCCUGCUGAAUUAUUCACCCGUGUCUUUUGCGUACUUCUUGUUUCCUGGGUGGGCUCGCCCGCCCUCAGGACCAACCACAAACCUUUUGCAAUAGCAAUCAGCGUCAGUAACAACGUAAUUAAUUACAACUUUCAACAACGGAUCUCUUGGUUCUGGCAUCGAUGAAGAACGCAGCGAAAUGCGAUACGUAGUGUGAAUUGCAGAAUUCAGUGAAUCAUCGAAUCUUUGAACGCACAUUGCGCCCUUUGGUAUUCCAAAGGGCAUGCCUGUUCGAGCGUCAUUUGUACCCUCAAGCUUUGCUUGGUGUUGGGCGUCUUUUGUCUCCAGUUCGCUGGAGACUCGCCUUAAAGUCAUUGGCAGCCGGCCUACUGGUUUCGGAGCGCAGCACAAGUCGCGCUCUUCGCCAGCCAAGGUCAGCGUCCAGCAAGCCUUUUUUUCAACCUUUGACCUCGGAUCAGGUAGGGAUACCCGCUGAACUUAAGCAUAU